AGUAAAUAGAUACCCCGGUAGUCCACGCCGUAAACGAUGUCGACUUGGAGGUUGUGCCCUUGAGGCGUGGCUUCCGGAGCUAAACGCGUUAAAGUCGACCGCCUGGGGAGUACGGCCGCAAGGUUAAAACUCAAAUGAAUUGACGGGGGCUCGCACAAGCGGUGGAGCAUGUGGUUUAAUUCGAUGCAACGCGAAGAACCUUACCUACUCUUGACAUCCAGAGAACUUAGCAGAGAUGCUUUGGUGCCUUCGGGAACUCUGAGACAGGUGCUGCAUGGCUGUCGUCAGCUCGUGUUGUGAAAUGUUGGGUUAAGUCCCGCAACGAGCGCAACCCUUAUCCUUUGUUGCCAGCGGUUAGGCCGGGAACUCAAAGGAGACUGCCAGUGAUAAACUGGAGGAAGGUGGGGAUGACGUCAAGUCAUCAUGGCCCUUACGAGUAGGGCUACACACGUGCUACAAUGGCGCAUACAAAGAGAAGCGACCUCGCGAGAGCAAGCGGACCUCAUAAAGU
rnacentral:rRNA from 1 species